rnacentral:rRNA from 1 species
UAAUUUAUUUUAGGUUUUCUAGAAAGACUGCCGGUGACAAACCGGAGGAAGGUGAGGAUGACGUCAAGUCAGCAUGCCCCUUAUGCCUUGGGCUACACACGUGCUACAAUGGUUAAGUCAAAGAGUUGCGAGCUCGUGAGAGUCAGCUAAUCUCAUAAACUUAGCCUAAGUUCGGAUUGUAGGCUGCAACUCGCCUGCAUGAAGUCGGAAUCGCUAGUAAUCGC